rnacentral:misc_RNA from 1 species
AACAUCGCGCACCUGCGGGAACCUGCGGAGGGAUCAUUACAGAGUUGCAAGACUCCCUAAACCAUUGUGAACGUUACCUAAACCGUUGCUUCGGCGGGCGGCCCGGGUCCUUCCCGGCGCCCCUCGGCCCUCGCGGGCGCCCGCCGGAGGUAAACCAAACUAUUGCAUUGUAUGGCCUCUCUGAGUCUUCUGUACUGAAUAAGUCAAAACUUUUAGCAACGGAUCUCAGAUCGGAAGAGC